rnacentral:misc_RNA from 1 species
GAUGAAGAACGUAGCGAAAUGCGAUACGUAAUGUGAAUUGCAGAAUUCAGUGAAUCAUCGAGUCUUUGAACGCACAUGGCGCCUUCCAGUAUCCUGGGAGGCAUGCCUGUCCGAGCGUCGUUUCAACCCUCGAGCCCCCGUGGCCCGGCGUUGGGGAUCUACCACGGCAGGCCCCUAAAACCAGUGGCGGACCCGAAGGCCCUCUCCUUUGCGCAGUAGCAUCAGCCUCGCAUUGGGAUCCCUCGGCGUCCUGCCUCUAAACCCCCCACAAGUCCGCUCCGGCGGCACCAAGGUUGACCUCGGAUCAGGUAGGAAUACCCGCUGAACUUAAGCAUAUCAAUAAGCGGAGGA